rnacentral:lncRNA from 10 species
GAAGGCAGACCAGCGUCCAGGACUCGCAGAGCUUUCUGAACCUCUGUCGCCUUCCCCGGCCAGGCCAGUCUCUAGACCCCUCUCAGCCUCCAUGUCCUCACCUGAGAAAACAGGGUCACAAUACCUGCCUUGCCAACGUGGUGAGGACCAGCGGAGAAGAUGAAAGGGCUUAUAUUCCAAAGCCCACAAGGUGCUCAGUAAAUGAGCGAGAACCCCGACAUCCAUUCUGAUCCUCAAGCGUUGGGGAGAAGAGACGGCUCCCCAGUAUGGGACAACUCU